UCAGUGGAUGCUUUGCAGGCCUAGAGUAGGAUCUGGUGUGAGCUCUGCCAUGGAUUUGCUAUGUGACCUCCAGCAAGCCCAGUGCCCUCUCUGGGUUCUUGGUUACUUGGUCAGUAAAUACACAUUUGGACUAAAUGGGUGUGUGAGGCACCCCCUAGCCUUCAAUGCCCUGGACCCCCAGCCUUACUUUGCAACGACCUAGGAAGAGAUACCAUAGAUAGGGGCACAGAAGCAGUGGGCAUGCCAGGGGACUUCAGAACAGCUGGGGGAGGGGUCAGAUUGCAGGGUGGGGCCCAGAGGACGGCUCACACCCUGGGAAGGGAGCUGAGGACAGUCCCAGCCCUGGGAGGGGCAGACAGCUGGCAGACAGUGUCGAGUUGCGGGGCAGGCCUUGGAGCUGGGAACAGCUGGGAGAGUUUUGUACACUCCUCGCCCAUCCCUGGUUCUGUGUGCUCCAAGUGCCAUCAAGGCCCUGGGGACCUCAGCUCCCCCACCCCCUGGCUUCUGGGCCACUCCCCAGGGACUGUCUCCUCAGUAAGGCAGGAGGGAACCUCUAAGAAAAAGCUGGCAACAGGUGCAUGGGUGGGAUGGCAAGAGUGAGAGCCGGCCCUGAGUCCUGGACUCGCCACACUGUGCUGUGGGCUGGCUGGCCUCAGCCUCGGUGCCCGAGGGUGGUUAUGGACCUACAGAAGAUGUGCAGGGCCUGAGAGCAGCCAUCUGCAUUAGGUGGGACAGGGAGAGCGGGCCUGGCCUCUGUGCUCAGCAGCCCAGGCAGUGUCACCCACCCCUGGUGACACAGCCCGCCCUGCUCCCAAGAUCUCAGGCCAGGAAGGGUCUGCCCAUCACAGGGAGCAGGACUUCUUGCCACCCUAAGGGCCCAGGGAGCAGAUGUGGCCCACUCUUCCCACCCCCACCAACCCUGCCACACCGACGCCAUCUUCCCGGGUUUGCCAUCCAGUGCUGAAAGCAUCUCUCUAAAGGCCCCUAAGCUCCCCUAACCUAAGGCCUUGGCUUGCCAGGAGUGUCAUGGGGAGCAACGCACAGACCUGUGGGUGCCCAGCACCAGAAGACACACUUUAGGGUCACACCUGUGGCCUUGGCCUAAGUGGGUUAGAGGAGCGCCUGGCCACACCCUGGACUUAGGGCUGCAAGUUCCGGGGUGGCCCUUGGCCUCCUUAGAAGUCCAAGCUGCUCUCUUGGAGCAGUGGCACCUGGUUCCCAAGGUUACUAUGCCUGGGAGGUCCCUUCCCAGUAGCAACCACAGCCUAGAACACUGCCCACAGCCUGGCCCUCUAGAAUGGGCCCCGCCCAGCUGCUUUUGAUCUUUGUUGAACUAAAGUCAGCUGAGCCCCGCUAGGGAGGCAGGAGCGCCAGGCCCAGAAAAGCAGCAGCCGCAGCCGUAGACAUGUCCAAGAUGUUUUCUGGUGGUGCAUCUUCAGCAGGGAGGCAGGAAGGGAACAGGUGUGGGCAGGCAGAGCUGAGCAGGGGUGCAGGAGGCCGCCUCCGGGCCCCAGAUGGCAUCUCAACUGUGGGAAGAGUCCCCCUGCCCCGGUCCUGCCCAGCAGGCUGGUGGGCCACCUGAAGCAACUGUCAGGCUCUGGCCGUUGACUCUUCCUGCUGGACUGAACUCAUGGCCAAGAGUUCGUUUUGGGGGAGCUCCAUUUUGUCUCCCCCAAAAUGGCCUCCUUUAUUUCCACCCUCAAGCUGCUGGGCCCCGGCUGGCCUCACGUUGGAGGGGCAGAACUGUAGCCACAGUGGCACCUGCCAGGUACCUAAGCUGGGGCUGGAUACCAGGUGAAGCUCUUACACAUCGUGUCAAGGCAUCUUGGCAGCCACCCCAGGGCCGCUCCUUAGGUAGCCCUCGCUUUGCAGAUGAGGAAACAGUCACGUGCUCAAGUCACACCGCUAGGAAGCGGUGGAGUUAUGGUUGGGUCCAGGUCUGUCUAGAUCCUGUGCUCUGCCACUGCCUGCACCCCCCUUCCCGGCCCUGCCGAUUGGCAUCUUUUCAUAAACUUGAAGGGCCCCAAGACUCUCUGCUUAGCUGAGCAGCCCACAGUCUUCCUGAGACCCCUUCCCAGGGCCACCAGGCCUCAGGGCCUGGAAACAGAUACUUCCUAGCCCACAUGGAUCUGCUCCUCCAAACCAGUGAGGCCAAAGGGAGGGAGCAGAACAUUUCAUGAGACACUGCUGGAGGGUGAGUAGGAACAGGACAGGAGCCCAAGGGGAUCUCAUCCCCAGGGGCAAGCUAAGCACUGGGCUUGACAGGGACAGCAAGGCUACCGCAUUGCACCAUUAUAGGGAGCAUCAUGCACACUAGCUGUGCAGUGCACAACCUGUGUUGCUGUACAGAGCAACUGGAGAGGGUGGCAGCAACAGGAAUGUAGGAGCUGUAGGCAUGUCCAGUGGUGAGACCGGCAUUCCUCCUCCCAGGGACAGUGAGUGACUGCAGGCCUUGGGGCCCCAACACUCAAAAACAAAUGUCCUGCCAAGUGGAGGGCCCGGCAGAGGCUCUUCAGCAAUUCCCAUUUCCCCAGUCCUAGCCCUGCCUCUCAGAGAAAGGGCCAAGCUGCCACCUCCCCCUUCUCCCCAGACCCUGUUCCAGGCCCCAGCUGGCUUCCUGGCUGGCUGCUAGCCCUGGCUUUCACCCCAAAGGGAGCCACUCGUAAACAGGAAAUGCUUCCCAAUGCGAUGCCUGCUCUGGGCGCCAUCGCCAGCCCACAGGCCGAGGGCAAUAGCCAAGCAGCAGUGUUAGCUGUUCCCACCAACUGCGGAAGAGGGGGAUGCUCAGGGGCUUCCCAGCUCUGGGGCCGGCCAUGAGGGAAGAGUUGCCAGGCCUGAGACAGACGCCCAGAGGCCGAGCCCACCAGCCUGUGGCUCUGCCUCUGACCCCACUGCCCUCCAGCAGUAACCCCCCUGUGAGCUGAUCCCUGACACUGAGCAUUUCUGCUCCCUCUUCCCAGAGACAGUCUAAAGGCAGCCCCCAAGUCCCAGAGAGCUGACUCCCCUAGCAUCGACUACGCAGAGCUGCUGCAGCACUUUGAGAAGGUCCAGAACAAGCACCUGGAAGUGCGGCACCAGCGGAGCGGGCGUGGGGACCACCUGGACCGGAGGGUUGUCCUCUGACAGGCCUGGCACGGAGGAGGGCCCACCGAGUGGUCCUAUGAAACACUCAGGGUCGUCACGCCCUCCCGAGGAGCUCAAGGACCUGCCUGUCAGGACCAGGGCUGGGCCUGCCAACCCAGGGCAGUGUUGGGGCCGGAGGCUGCUGUGUCUGCCCAAGCUCCUCUGAGAGUCCAGUCCCCAGGCCUCCAGCGCUGUCAGCUGCACCCUGGCAUUCACACAGAGCUGGCUGCCCACCCAGUGGGGGGCUAUAGCCUCAGAGACCACUCAUCCUCUGGAAUCAACCUCUUUCUAAUACCCUCUUGGAAAAAGAGCUUGCCCCUCCUCCAGCACACUAGAGCUCUGGCCUUGUGUGUAUAUGUAUACAUACGUGAACACAUGCCUAUGUGUGUGUGUGUGUACUUGUAUGCACGUAGGCACCAGCACAAAGAUCUGAAUGAUGCACCCCACCCCCACCCCAAUAAAGAAAUAACAGAAAACCCUC
rnacentral:sRNA from 1 species